UUCCUGGCUUUUGCAAAUAAGUAUAGGCAGC
rnacentral:piRNA from 1 species